rnacentral:lncRNA from 1 species
GGGGAAGUAGAGUAGUUUAUAUUAGGAGAAAAUAAAUUAUUUGAAGGACUAGGGAUGAAGUUACUGGGCAUGAAACUGCCGUCUAUAUUAAAAUUCCUGCUGGUUUGUAACCCAGGGCUUAGGUCAUGAAAGAAACUUAGAGGAUUUGGAUCAGACGACAUUAAUGGAGAAAAAAAGUUUGGGGGUAUAGGUGGAAGAGAACUCGGACCAGGUGAUAAUAUGCCGGGAAAUAGCCCUGUAAUUCUAUCAAUAUCAGCAGUUAGAUCUGAGCCAUCAACCAUUUGUUGAACAUGACCAUUUUGUUGUAAAUUUCUUUUACCUUCCGGGGACUUUAUUUUCUCUAUGGAAGCAUAACGAGCUGCUGGAGAAAUUGCACCGCUAUCUGGAAAGAAUGAAUGAGACGAAGAAUGCACAGGAGACGACGAGGAAGUAGUGGAAGAAUUAGGUCCUGUGAGACGUUGAACUAGUUGCAUGAACUCAUUAGGGUUUGCAUGAAUAAUCUUCGGAGAAACUGUGUAUAUGAUCACCGGAGGGCGGUGUACUGGAGGCGGCUGCUGAUGCUGCUGUUGUGGAACAGGAGGAGGUUUUCUGAUCUUAUGAGAGUCUUUUCGCACUUUUAAAGGCGUCGGACGGGGGCCUUGGAGCUCCCGUCGGGGCGACUUUCCGUGACCGGAGAAGUCCAUGUUGUGGUGGACAGAGUCAAUGAUGGGGAGAAAAGUAUAAGCAGAAAUGAGAGGGACAGAGGGAGUAUACAAAAUAUUUUAUUACAAGGCAAUCAUUCAGACACAGGCUAGCUGAUUUACUACAAAUUAAUCAUAUGAAAAACAACAAAUGAAUGAAACAAACAAGAAAAAACAAGCUAUCAUAUAUUUUACUAGUAUCAUUUUACAUUACAUAAGAACAUUACAUCAAAAAUUUCUGUAUAAUCAAAAUAUAGACUACCAAUUAGUAAAUGAAGCAAUAAUCAUAACCUCACCAACUUUCUGUGCUUACUAAAUAUACUGGAAAACCUAAAUUCAAUCUUCUUCCGUUUCAGCGCUGCUGCAGAUAAAUAGAAGCAGUUUCUUGUGAUCAGGUCUGCGUAUAUCUGAAACUUCUCCGUAUAUCUGGUAUAACAGUUCAGCAUAAGAUUUUUGCUAUAAUUAGGGGUUAGAAGUCGAAGAAAUUAUUGAAAAGAUCUACAGAGGGGGAAGUAGAGUAGUUUAUAUUAGGAGAAAAUAAAUUAUUUGAAGGACUAGGGAUGAAGUUACUGGGCAUGAAACUGCCGUCUAUAUUAAAAUUCCUGCUGGUUUGUAACCCAGGGCUUAGGUCAUGAAAGAAACUUAGAGGAUUUGGAUCAGACGACAUUAAUGGAGAAAAAAAGUUUGGGGGUAUAGGUGGAAGAGAACUCGGACCAGGUGAUAAUAUGCCGGGAAAUAGCCCUGUAAUUCUAUCAAUAUCAGCAGUUAGAUCUGAGCCAUCAACCAUUUGUUGAACAUGACCAUUUUGUUGUAAAUUUCUUUUACCUUCCGGGGACUUUAUUUUCUCUAUGGAAGCAUAACGAGCUGCUGGAGAAAUUGCACCGCUAUCUGGAAAGAAUGAAUGAGACGAAGAAUGCACAGGAGACGACGAGGAAGUAGUGGAAGAAUUAGGUCCUGUGAGACGUUGAACUAGUUGCAUGAACUCAUUAGGGUUUGCAUGAAUAAUCUUCGGAGAAACUGUGUAUAUGAUCACCGGAGGGCGGUGUACUGGAGGCGGCUGCUGAUGCUGCUGUUGUGGAACAGGAGGAGGUUUUCUGAUCUUAUGAGAGUCUUUUCGCACUUUUAAAGGCGUCGGACGGGGGCCUUGGAGCUCCCGUCGGGGCGACUUUCCGUGACCGGAGAAGUCCAUGUUGUGGUGGACAGAGUCAAUGAUGGGGAGAAAAGUAUAAGCAGAC